UUUGCUUCUCAGCCUUGUGGCUAAGAUCAAGUGUAGUAUCUGUUCUUAUCAGUUUAACAAACUACAGUUCCCAGGAUUCUUUGUGGGAAAUCACAACUCUUU
ensembl:snRNA U2 U2 spliceosomal RNA